UCCGGUGGUUAUAGCGUGGGGGAAACGCCGUCCCAUCCGAACCCGGUAGCUAAGACCCACAGCGCUGAUGGUACUGCACUCGGUAGGUCCUGUAGGGAGAGUAAGUCACCGCCGGAA
rnacentral:rRNA from 1 species